ensembl:misc_RNA Metazoa_SRP Metazoan signal recognition particle RNA
GGCGGGUGCGGUGGUGGGUGCCGGUAGUCCCAGCUACUCGGGAGGCUGAGGUGGGAGGAUCGCUUGAGCCCAGGAGUUCUGGGCUGUAGUGCGCUAUGCCAAUCCGGUGUCCGCACUAAGUUCAGCAUCAGUAUGGUGACUUCCUGGGAGCGGGGUACCACCAGGUUGCCUAAGGAGGGGUGAACCGGCCCAGGUGGGAAACAGAGCAGGUCAAAACUCCCGUGCUGAUCAGUAGUGGGAUCGAGCCUGUGAAUAGCCACUGCACUCCAGCAUAGCGAGACCUCGUAGCUU